rnacentral:rRNA from 1 species
UUCGCCAGGGGACUACGAGCACUAGCUUAAAACCCAAAGGACUUGGCGGUGCCCUAAACCACCUAGAGGAGCCUGUUCUAUAAUCGAUAACCCGCGAUAAACCUCACCGUUUCUUGCCAAACCGCCUAUAUACCGCCGUCGUCAAUUUACCCUUUGAAGGCCUCACAGUAAGUUUAAAGGUAACCGCCCAAACGUCAGGUCAAGGUGUAGCGAAUGAAACGGGAAGAAAUGGGCUACAUUUUCUAUUCUAGACUAUACGGAUAAUCACUAUGAAAUUUGAUUAUGAAGGAGGAUUUAGCAGUAAAAAGAAAUCAUUACGUUCUUUUUAACAUGGCCCUAGGGCGCGCACACACCGCCCGUCACCCUCUUCGACACAAGUUUAUAAAUAUAUAUAAUAAUUCUCUGUAAUCAAGAAGAGGCAAGUCGUAACAUGGUAAGUAUACCGGAAGGUGUACUUGGA